rnacentral:lncRNA from 1 species
GAACAGAAGCAGGAGGGGUAGAGGAAGAAGGGGAGAGAAUUUCAAGCAGACCCUACACUGAGCACAGAGCUCACCACAGGGCUGGUUCUCAUGACCUUGAGAUCGUGACCUGAGUCAAAACCAAGAGUUGCCUUCAACCGACUGUGCCACCCAGGUGCCCCAAGAAUGUGUUUAUUUCCGCGGUGACUAUGGUUGUGGGGGAAGCUGUCCCAUACCCCUUGUGGUUGGGGUCUGGAUCAGAACCUGAGGACCCACAGUCCCUCUCCUCGUGGACCUGGAGUGGACAAAGGUGGACCUCCUCCUCUAGCAGGCGGUGGGGUUUUCACCAAUGAGGGGGUGCAUUGCCGCACUGGGCAGCCUUUAGGGGUCACGCCGGAGGAGGAGAGUCAGGUCGGGGGUGGAGAGAGCACCGAAGUCGGAUGUGGGAGAUGCCUGCCUUUUCUUCCCACGCAGGGCAAGGAUGCCCAAGCUAAAGUAACCGUGUUCCCUCUAGCCCUUCUCCACACAUGUCCAAAGGAAAAGAAAAGCACAGAACACAUCCUGAGUCUCCACGAAGUGAUUAAUGAGCUAAAAUUCACUUUUGAUUCAAGAAGGUCCUGAAUUGCUAGCUCCUCAUUGGUCUCCACAUGGGGCACACCAUCUUGUCACUCUCCACCCGCGUUCCCUCCCAGACCCCCAGGACAACAAGACACCUAGGUCAAGAAAGAAAGAGACAGAGAAAAUACAUUCUAUUCUUCUCCAUCUGACUAAGGCUUGACACUGGGAGUGACCUCACUGUCUUUGAGAAUCCUGGUCUCACCUUUACAGGUCUCAGCAGGACACCUCUAUCUUUGUAUGACUAGCGGGUGAUAGCACCAACUGUUGUGCAUGGAAUAAAUGCUCCUAUGUUGGUGGCA